AUGCAUGAGUUAACUAAGGAAAACAUUGAGCGCAUGAAUGCUAAAUAUAAACUUGCUGGAGAUAAGGGUAGAAAACAUGUUGUGUUUGCACCUGGAGAUCUUGUUUGGUUACAUUUGCGUAAGGAUAGAUUUCCUGAUUUGCGCAAAUCAAAGUUAAUGCCACGAGCUGAUGGUCCCUUUAAGGUGUUAGAGAAAAUAAAUGAUAAUGCAUAUAAACUUGAGCUGCCUGCAGAUUUUGGGGUUAGUCCCACUUUUAACAUUGCAGAUUUGAAACCUUAUUUGGGUGAGGAAGAUGAACUUCCGUCGAGGACGACUUCAUUUCAAGAAGGGGAGGAUGAUGAGGACAUCAAUACAAUUGUUACACCCACAGCCCCUGCUGCUAUACAUACUGGACCAAUUACUAGAGCUCGUGCACGCCAACUAAAUUACCAGGAAACAGACCCUCGUGGUCAGGUUGAUCGUGCUCCGGCGUGGUCAAUAACCUCUCGGAGUUGGUUUAGCGAUUGCUAA
rnacentral:rRNA from 1 species